CCCUUAGACGCUCUGGGCUGCACGCGUGCUACAAUGGCGCCUGCAACAAGUCUUGCCAACCCGAUAGGGUGAGCGGAUCUUUGAAGAGGCGUCGUGAUCGGGACAGUUGAUUGCAAUUAUUCGACUCGAACGAGGAAUUCCUUGUAAUCGCGAUUCAUCAUAUCGCGCUGAAUACGUCCCUGCCCUUUGUACACACCGCCCGUCGCUCCUACCGAUUGAGCGAUCCGGUGAAUGUUUUGGACUGGCGUCAGAAGCGGUUCGCUCCUGACACUACGAAAUUUUGUAAACCUUAUCGCUUAGAGGAAGGAAAAGUCGUAACA
rnacentral:rRNA from 1 species